AUUGAACGCUGGCGGCAUGCCUUACACUUGCAAGUCGAACGGCAGCACGGAGCUUGCUCUGGUGGCGAGUGGCGAACGGGUGAGUAAUAUAUCGGAACGUACCCUAGAGUGGGGGAUAACGUAGCGAAAGUUACGCUAAUACCGCAUACGAUCUAAGGAUGAAAGUGGGGGAUCGCAAGACCUCAUGCUCGUGGAGCGGCCGAUAUCUGAUUAGCUAGUUGGUAGGGUAAAAGCCUACCAAGGCAUCGAUCAGUAGCUGGUCUGAGAGGACGACCAGCCACACUGGAACUGAGACACGGUCCAGACUCCUACGGGAGGCAGCAGUGGGGAAUUUUGGACAAUGGGCGAAAGCCUGAUCCAGCAAUGCCGCGUGAGUGAAGAAGGCCUUCGGGUUGUAAAGCUCUUUUGUCAGGGAAGAAACGGUGAAAGCUAAUAUCUUUUGCUAAUGACGGUACCUGAAGAAUAAGCACCGGCUAACUACGUGCCAGCAGCCGCGGUAAUACGUAGGGUGCAAGCGUUAAUCGGAAUUACUGGGCGUAAAGCGUGCGCAGGCGGUUUUGUAAGUCUGAUGUGAAAUCCCCGGGCUCAACCUGGGAAUUGCAUUGGAGACUGCAAGGCUAGAAUCUGGCAGAGGGGGGUAGAAUUCCACGUGUAGCAGUGAAAUGCGUAGAUAUGUGGAGGAACACCGAUGGCGAAGGCAGCCCCCUGGGUCAAGAUUGACGCUCAUGCACGAAAGCGUGGGGAGCAAACAGGAUUAGAUACCCUGGUAGUCCACGCCCUAAACGAUGUCUACUAGUUGUCGGGUCUUAAUUGACUUGGUAACGCAGCUAACGCGUGAAGUAGACCGCCUGGGGAGUACGGUCGCAAGAUUAAAACUCAAAGGAAUUGACGGGGACCCGCACAAGCGGUGGAUGAUGUGGAUUAAUUCGAUGCAACGCGAAAAACCUUACCUACCCUUGACAUGGCUGGAAUCCUCGAGAGAUUGAGGAGUGCUCGAAAGAGAACCAGUACACAGGUGCUGCAUGGCUGUCGUCAGCUCGUGUCGUGAGAUGUUGGGUUAAGUCCCGCAACGAGCGCAACCCUUGUCAUUAGUUGCUACGAAAGGGCACUCUAAUGAGACUGCCGGUGACAAACCGGAGGAAGGUGGGGAUGACGUCAAGUCCUCAUGGCCCUUAUGGGUAGGGCUUCACACGUCAUACAAUGGUACAUACAGAGCGCCGCCAACCCGCGAGGGGGAGCUAAUCGCAGAAAGUGUAUCGUAGUCCGGAUUGUAGUCUGCAACUCGACUGCAUGAAGUUGGAAUCGCUAGUAAUCGCGGAUCAGCAUGUCGCGGUGAAUACGUUCACGGGUCU
rnacentral:rRNA from 1 species